AACGAACGCUGGCGGCAUGCCUUACACAUGCAAGUCGAGCGAUUUACUUCGGUAAAGAGCGGCGGACGGGUGAGUAACGCGUGGGUAACCUGCCCUGUACACACGGAUAACAUACCGAAAGGUAUGCUAAUACGAGAUAAUAUACUUUUAUCGCAUGGUAGAAGUAUCAAAGCUUUUGCGGUACAGGAUGUACCCGCGUCUGAUUAGCUAGUUGGUAAGGUAACGGCUUACCAAGGAGACAAUCAGUAGCCGACCUGAGAGGUUGAUCGGCCACAUUGGAACUGAGGCACGGUCCAAACUCCUACGGGAGGCAGCAGUGGGAAUAUUGCACAAUGGGCGAAAGCCUGAUGCAGCAACGCCGCGUGAGCGAUGAAGGCCUUCGGGUCGUAAAGCUCUGUCCUCAAGGAAGAUAAUGACGGUACUUGAGGAGGAAGCCCCGGCUAACUACGUGCCAGCCGCCGCUGUAACAC
rnacentral:rRNA from 1 species